AUGGACGCCGUGGCGACGGCAUCUCCCAAUGUUUACUCGCUAGACCUCGUGAGUUUCGGGCGCGGGGUCCUCGACCGUGGCCUCGUUUUCCUGAACGCCAGGAUCUUUCUCCCGGUCGACACGUUCGAGAUCCUCCGCAUCGAUAACUCUAUCGUUCAUAAGAGCGCCGGCGACAUCAGGGUGAUCGAUAGGAGCCACCUGCACCCCGGCCAGGUGGUCGGAUCGGCGUCCGACGUCGGCGGCCAGAUCGGCAUCGUCACCGGCGUUACCACCGUGCUCGACCUGGUGGACUUCGACAAGAGCGGCAUGGCGACCAAGGUCAUCAAGGGCGUGUCCCCGUCUAGCCUGCGGCGCGUAAGGAGCCUCAACCUUGGCGACUUCGUCGUGUCCGGGCUGUGGCUCGGCCGGGUCGUGGAGGUGUCAAUCGACGUCGAUGUGCUGUUCGAUGACGGAGCAGUCUGCAGGGUCAUCGACGCCGAGUCCAAGAAGCUGAAAAGAGUGGAUGACGACAUGGACAGCAACCGCAUGUAUCGCCAACAAAUGAAUAGUCACUUCUACCUGGGUGUCCACGUCACCGCACCAGACCCUUGUUCCCUCUUCAAGGCGGCAUUGUGGCUAAAUGGCUACUGGAAUCUUGACCGUAUAGGAGGCACCGUCAUCAAGGUGAAGACGUCUACCGUCCUCGUCUUCUGGGUUGCGUCGAUGCAUUGUGGCACAGACAAGGGGCUCAUCGAUGCAUCCGCUCCUCCAGCCUACCAGAAUGUCGAUGAUCUUACGUUCUUUUGUGCCGCAUCCAAUUGUUGUUGGGGGGCAGCUGAUGCCUGUUUUUUUCGUGAACCUAGUUCCACCAAAAUCGGCAAUGCUAAUGGGGAUGCAGCUUGUGCUCAUGAUCAAGACGAUGAGGAGGAGGAGGAGGUGGUGGAGGGGGAGGAUGUGAUUGAUGAUGAGUGUGAAGCACCAACUGCUCAUGUGUUAUCGUCCACGAGGCAGACGGAUGUGUGGUUUUAUCAGAAACAAUUGAGGAAGGUCUUCUUUCAGGGGCACAGACGGGCGCGACGCCCACAAGUCAGGAGGCAUGUUGAGGUGGAGUUUCCCAUGGUUGUUGCCAAGACCCACACCUCUGUCGACGUGUUGUGGCAGGACGGCACACGGCAACAAGGUAUACGUUCAACGACAGUCAUCCCCUUUGGCAUAGUAAAUGAGCAUGAGUUCUUCCCGGGGGAGCAAGUCGUUGGCAAUGUUCUUCCAAUUGAUGCUGCUGGCGAUCAUAGUAGCAUGGCAUCUACUAUUUUCAACAAUCACAUUGUUGAUGAUGGAAUUAGAUCCGCAAUGCGUGUGGGUGUCGUCAGGAGCAUGCAUUCCAAGGACCAGACGGUUCAACUAUCGUGGUUCAAGGCAUCGGUGCGCCCUGACAAGGCUAGGGAGGUCGAGUGCGACGAUACCGUGAGCGCGUAUGACCUGAAAAGGGACUAUGACCACUCUGCUUACUACGGAGAUAUUGUUAUUCGCCUCCUACCAUCAAGAUCACCCAAUGACAGAAGGGCACCUUUACGGGGCAACACCGAUCUUUCAUGGGCGGGACGUGUUAUUGACGUUUCUAGUGGGUACAUCCAAGUCAAGUGGGGUGAUGGUAACAUAUCAAUGGUAUUGCCCAAUGAGAUCUCUGUCGUCAGGGAGGAGCACUACAUGGAUCUGUUGACUGAAAUGGGCCACUGGGUGGAGGAAGAUGGCAUCGACGAUGCACCAGAAGAACCGGCUGCUGCGGUGAACAUGGACAAUGGCCUAUGUAAUCCAGCCAGCGAUAGCGACGUCGAAGGCGGCAACCAGCCAGCGACGAGGACGAGUCUUUUGAGCUUUGCAUUUCACUCUUUGCUCCAAUUGACCGGUGACAUGGUGGCUCGAGGCAAGGGGUACCUGAUGAACCGGCCGGUAACACGGUCGUCACCACCAAGCACGGAGUUAGGAGUGGCUGCUAAAGAUGAUAGCAAUGGUGCUGCUGCAACGGAGACCACCAAUGCUGCCGUGGCCAGGAAUGUUGUGGAGCUGAAUGGCAACGGCCACAAUUUUGCCGAGCGGACGAAGGCUGGAGGCGCUACCAAUUGUUGCAACAAAUCAUUGUGCUUUCCACGUUUUGAUGUACUGCAGAUUACCCCUCCGGAUCACCACUACCUUGACACUACGGAUGAGGGAAUGCAGGACGGUAGUCGUGGGAAGAAUUGGGCCAAAGCAGUGCAAAAGGAAUGGAGAAUUUUAGAGAAUGACUUACCAGAAACCAUCUAUGUGCGAGCGUUCGAGGACCGCAUGGAUCUGCUCCGGCUGGUGAUGGUCGGCGCGGGCGGGACGCCGUACAAUGACGGCCUAUUUUUCUUCGACUUGCAGCUGCCACUGUCCUACCCGAUUGCGCCACCACAAGUGUACUACCACUCCUUCGGUCUACGCCUCAAUCCCAACCUCUACGAGUUUGGUACCGUGUGUCUUAGCCUGCUGGGCACAUUCGACGGUGAGGGCACCGAGUUAUGGUCGCCGGCAACGUCGAGCCUCCUCCAAAUCGUUGUCUCCAUCCAGGGCCUCGUCCUCAACGCCCAACCAUACUACAACGAGGCCGGAUAUGAGACCUUAGUCGGCAAACCGGAGGGCCAUCGCAAUGCAUUGCCCUACAGUAAGAAUGCUUACCUGCUCACCCUUCGGACCAUGCUCCAUCUUUUGCAUCGGCCACCUCAGGGUUUUGAGAAAUUAGUCAAGGAACAUUUCCGCUGCCGCGGAAGGUUUGUGCUCAGGACAUGCAACACGUGGUUGCAAGGAUGUGUUGUCGGUGAUGCCCAUGCAACUGAAUCAAGUAGGGAGCAGCCAUGCUCGGCUGGGUUAAGGCUUGCACUUGCCAAUGUGGUGCCGAGCCUCAUCGCUGCCUUCAUAGAGACUAGAUCGGCAACGCGCCUUGGCGCGAGGAUGCCUAUCCGAACGGCGCGAGGAUGCCUAUCCGAACGUUUUGGUCAAACAUGUAAUGAAGAAUCACCGAAGAACCAGUUGGAAACAAAGAUUGUUCACGUGCACAAAACGGGAAAUCACCUUGGCGCGAGGGUGCCGGUCCAUACGUUUUGGUCAAGCAAGUAA
rnacentral:rRNA from 1 species